GCUGUUCGGCAACUUCUGAAUGAUUAAGUUAAGAGAGUUCUGAACCAUUAAGAGCCAGUAUAAUGCUUAACCGUUCAGAGGCAAAUGUCUGACCAAUUCAGAUUAGAGGUCUUAACCAUUCAGAGGCAAAUGUCUAAACCAGUCAGACAUUCGCUCGCGAAAUAAACAGUCUGGACCAUUAAGUACUGAACCAAUAAGAAGUCUAAACCAUUAAGAGUCUCACUAAUAGCUAAAAAACAAGCCCUUAAUGUGCAUCUCAACAAAAGACUCUGCGAUGAUAGAAAAAUAAAUGAAGAUAUUUUAUUAAACAUGAGAAUAAUCGAUCUAGUACAUUUCACCAUGAAAUAACCACGACUCGAUAAAAAAAUCCCAUGAAAAACUACGUAACUGCCUAAAUAUUAACUGUUAAAACACAAGACACAAUUUUCCUUUUUUCCCCUUAUUUAUCAUGAACCAAAUCCUGGGCGAGUUGUUUCAGUGACAACAAGUUGCAUCGUACAAUAGUCUCCACAAACACACACGUUUCUUCCUUGGUGUUCUCCGGCGGCACGUCCACAACAUACGACUCCACAACCACCGUACCCCCGCCACACGUGGGUGACGAGUGGAGGGUGGUAACGGACCGGUAGUUUUUCAACCGGUGGUCCCCACCAACAACACUGAAGCUGAUGACAUGGCGUUCGUCGUCAAGGAUGUCAAGCCGCUCCAUGCUGGAUGCGGCGGGUAACCCAGACACUACUUGAACCUCCCUCACGGACCCCACGUCACCGUCUCCAACAAUGAGAUCACAACUUUUUAGAAAGUGUUUGUAGGCUUGCGGGUUGUCGAAACGACGGACUAGGGACCACACGGUCUCAAGGGGGGCGGCGAUGGGUUGAAUUAUUGUGGAGAAGCAUUGGUUGUGGGACACGCGGUGCGUGUGGUGGCGGUGUAGGUCUUCCGGGAUGUUAAUUAAUUGUGGAAGUUGUUUGCAUACGA
rnacentral:lncRNA from 1 species